CCUGGCGGCCAUAGCGCCGUGGAACCACCUGAACCCAUGCCGAACUCAGAAGUGAAACGCGGUAGCGCCGAUGGUAGUGUGGCAU
rnacentral:rRNA from 1 species